rnacentral:rRNA from 1 species
UGGGGAAUUUUGGACAAUGGGCGAAAGCCUGAUCCAGCAAUGCCGCGUGUGUGAAGAAGGCCUUCGGGUUGUAAAGCACUUUUGUCCGGAAAGAAAUCCUUGGCUCUAAUACAGUCGGGGGAUGACGGUACCGGAAGAAUAAGCACCGGCUAACUACGUGCCAGCAGCCGCGGUAAUACGUAGGGUGCAAGCGUUAAUCGGAAUUACUGGGCGUAAAGCGUGCGCAGGCGGUUUGCUAAGACCGAUGUGAAAUCCCCGGGCUCAACCUGGGAACUGCAUUGGUGACUGGCAGGCUAGAGUAUGGCAGAGGGGGGUAGAAUUCCACGUGUAGCAGUGAAAUGCGUAGAGAUGUGGAGGAAUACCGAUGGCGAAGGCAGCCCCCUGGGCCAAUACUGACGCUCAUGCACGAAAGCGUGGGGGAGCAAACAGGAUUAGGUACCCCUGGUAGUCCACGCCCUAAACGAUGUCAACUAGUUGUUGGGGAUUCAUUUCCUUAGUAACGUAGCUAACGCGUGAAGUUGACCGCCUGGGGAGUACGGUCGCAAGAUUAAAACUCAAAUGAAUUGACGGGGUCAUAGCUGUUUCCU